rnacentral:rRNA from 1 species
GGGUUGUGAGGUUAAGCGAAUAAGCGUACACGGUGGAUGCCUAGGCAAUCAGAGGCGAUGAAGGACGUGCUAAUCUGCGAAAAGCGUCGGUAAGGUGAUAUGAACCGUUAUACCCGACGAUAUCCGAAUGGGGAAACCCAGUAUCCAAUGGAUACUAUCAUUAACUGAAUCCAUAGGUUAAUGAGGCGAACCGGGAGAACUGAAACAUCUCAGUACCCCGAGGAAAAGAAAUCAACCGAGAUUCCCCUAGUAGCGGCGAGCGAACGGGGAGCAGCCCAGAGUCUUAAUCAAUAGCAGUGUCAGGAGAACGGUCUGGAAAGUCCGGCAGUAAAGGGUGAUAGCCCCGUAUCUGAAGAUGUUGUUAUUGUGAACUCGACGAGUAGGGCGGGACACGUGUUAUCCUGUCUGAAUAUGGGGGGACCAUCCUCCAAGGCUAAAUACUCCUGAUUGACCGAUAGUGAACCAGUACCGUGAGGGAAAGGCGAAAAGAACCCCGGCGAGGGGAGUGAAAAAGAACCUGAAACCGUGUACGUACAAGCAGUAGGAGCCUCUUUAUGGGGUGACUGCGUACCUUUUGUAUAAUGGGUCAGCGACUUAUAUUCUGUAGCAAGGUUAACCGUAUAGGGGAGCCGUAGGGAAACCGAGUCUUAACUGGGCGAAUGAGUUGCAGGGUAUAGACCCGAAACCCGGUGAUCUAUCCAUGGGCAGGUUGAAGGUUGGGUAACACUAACUGGAGGACCGAACCGACUAAUGUUGAAAAAUUAGCGGAUGACUUGUGGAUGGGGGUGAAAGGCCAAUCAAACCGGGAGAUAGCUGGUUCUCCCCGAAAGCUAUUUAGGUAGCGCCUCGUGAACUCAUCUUCGGGGGUAGAGCACUGUUUCGACUAGGGGGUCAUCCCGACUUACCAACUCGAUGCAAACUGCGAAUACCGAAGAAUGUUAUCACGGGAGACACACGGCGGGUGCUAACGUCCGUCGUGAAGAGGGAAACAACCCAGACCGCCAGCUAAGGUCCCAAAGUCAUGGUUAAGUGGGAAACGAAGUGGGAAGGCUCAGACAGCCAGGAUGUUGGCUUAGAAGCAGCCAUCAUUUAAAGAAAGCGUAAUAGCUCACUGGUCGAGUCGGCCCGCGCGGAAGAUGUAACGGGGCUAAACCAUGCACCGAAGCUGCGGCAGCGACACAAAGUGUUGUUGGGUAGGGGAGCGUUCUGUAAGCCUGCGAAGGUGUACUGUGAGGUAUGCUGGAGGUAUCAGAAGUGCGAAUGCUGACAUAAGUAACGAUAAUGCGGGUGAAAAACCCGCACGCCGGAAGACCAAGGGUUCCUGUCCAACGUUAAUCGGGGCAGGGUGAGUCGACCCCUAAGGCGAGGCUGAAAAGCGUAGUCGAUGGGAAACGGGUUAAUAUUCCCGUACUGGUGGUAACUGCGAUGGGGGAACGGAGAAGGCUAGGUUGUCCGGGCGACGGUCGUCCCGGUUCAAGCAGGUAGGCAGAGUGAUUAGGCAAAUCCGGUCACUUAAUGC